GAACAGGGGUGACACCACCAGGUUUAUUGGGAUGGAGCUGGGGGACCCCAAAACCGCAGGGACAGUCGGACGGAGCGUCAGUCGGACAGAGGGACAGACAGGACAGUGUCACUGCACUGUGGCCAUGGGCUCAUGAUGGUCACUGCGGUCAGGAACUGUCCCCAGGGUGGUCACUGUGGUCACUGUGGUGGUCACUGCGGUCAGGAGCUGUCCCCAGGGUGGUCACUGUGAUGGUCACUGUGGUCAGGAGCUGUCCCCAUGGUGGUCAUGAUGGUCACUGUGGUGGUCAUUGCUCCAUGGUGGUGUCCUCAUGAUGGUCACUGUGGUCAGGAGCUGUCCCCAUGGUGGUCACUGUGGUGGUCACUGUGGUGGUCACUGCUCCAUGGUGGUGUCCUCAUGGUGGUCACUGUGGUGGUCACUGUGGUGGUCACUGCAAUGGUCACUGUUCCAUGGUGGUGUCCUCGUGGUGGUCACUGUGGUAGUCACUGUGGUCACUGUGAUGGUCACUGUGAUGGUCACUGUGGUCAGGAGCUGUCCCCAGGGUGGUCACUGUGGUCACUGUGGUGGUCACUGUGGUCAGGAGCUGUCCCCAUGGUGGUCACUGUGGUCACUGUGGUGGUCACUGUGGUCAGGAGCUGUCCCCAUGGUGGCUGUGAUGGUCACUGUGAUGGUCACUGUGAUGGUCACUGUGGUGGUCACUGUGAUGGUCACUGUGGUCAGGAGCUGUCCCCAUGGUGGCCAUGGUGGUCAGUGUGGUGGUCACUGUGGUCACUCAUGGCUCCAUGGCGGUGUCCCAGGGUGGUCAGUGUGGUGGCCAGGGUGG
ensembl:lncRNA